UCGAGAAUCUUCGGCAAUGGGCGCAAGCCUGAUGCAGCGACGCCGCGUGGGGGAUGAAGGCCUUAGGGUCGUAAACCCCUUUCAGCAGGGACGAAAAUGACGGUACCUGCAGAAGAAGCCCCGGCCAACUACGUGCCAGCAGCCGCGGUAAGACGUAGGGGGCGAGCGUUGUCCGGAUUUAUUGGGCGUAAAGAGCUCGUAGGCGGUUGCGUAAGUCGGAUGUGAAAACUCAGGGCUCAACCCUGAGACGCCAUCCGAUACUGCGCUGACUUGAAUCCAGUAGGGGAGUGUGGAAUUCCUGGUGUAGCGGUGAAAUGCGCAGAUAUCAGGAGGAACACCCAUGGCGAAGGCAGCACUCUGGGCUGGUAUUGACGCUGAGGAGCGAAAGCAUGGGUAGCGAACAGGAUUAGAUACCCUUGUAGUCCCUGAGCGGGCUGGCAAGGCGCAU
rnacentral:rRNA from 1 species